rnacentral:rRNA from 1 species
GACGAACGCUGGCGGCGUGCUUAACACAUGCCAGUCGAACGCUGAAGCUUGGUGCUUGCCCUGGGUGGAUGAGUGGCGAACGGGUGAGUAAUACGUGAGUAACCUGCCCUUGACUCUGGGAUAAGCCUGGGAAACUGGGUCUAAUACUGGAUACGACAUGCCACUGCAUGGUGGUGUGUGGAAAGGGUUUUACUGGUUUUGGAUGGGCUCACGGCCUAUCAGCUUGUUGGUGGGGUAAUGGCCUACCAAGGCGACGACGGGUAGCCGGCCUGAGAGGGUGACCGGCCACACUGGGACUGAGACACGGCCCAGACUCCUACGGGAGGCAGCAGUGGGGAAUAUUGCACAAUGGGCGGAAGCCUGAUGCAGCGACGCCGCGUGAGGGAUGACGGCCUUCGGGUUGUAAACCUCUUUCAGCACGGAAGAAGCGAGAGUGACGGUACGUGCAGAAGAAGCGCCGGCUAACUACGUG